rfam:Lachnospiraceae bacterium A4 genomic scaffold acPFC-supercont1.20, whole genome shotgun sequence.
AGAAACUGAACUCUACACAAUUUAUGCCGAUGAAACAUUGUGUAGAGU